UACAGAGGGGGGCGAGCGUUUAUUCGGAAUUAUUGGGCGUAAAGGGCGCGUAGGCGGCCUUUCAAGUGACGGGUGAAAUCCCUCGGCUUAACCGAGGAACUGCCUGUCAGACUGGAAGGCUUGAGACCGGGAGAGGUGAGUGGAAUUCCCAGUGUAGCGGUGAAAUGCGUAGAUAUUGGGAGGAACACCAGUGGCGAAGGCGGCUCACUGGACCGGUACUGACGCUGAGGCGCGAAAGCGUGGGGAGCAAACAGG
rnacentral:rRNA from 1 species